CAGCAGCCACGGUAAUACGUAGGUGGCAAGCGUUGUCCGGAAUUAUUGGGCGUAAAGGGCUCGCAGGCGGUUUCUUAAGUCUGAUGUGAAAGCCCCCGGCUCAACCGGGGAGGGUCAUUGGAAGCUGGGAAACUUGAGUGCAGAAGAGGAGAGUGGAAUUCCACGUGUAGCGGUGAAAUGCGUAGAGAUGUGGAGGAACACCAGUGGCGAAGGCGACUCUCUGGUCUGUAACUGACGCUGAGGAGCGAAAGCGUGGGGAGCGAACAGGAUUAGAUACCCCGGUAGUCCCUGUCUCUUAUAC
rnacentral:rRNA from 1 species